rnacentral:ncRNA from 1 species
AAAGUCUCAACACAAGGUUUGGUCCUGACCUUACUGUCAACUAUUACUCAACUUACACAUGCAAGUAUCCGCAUACCCGUGAAAACGCCCUUACCCCUUCAACCAAGAUAAGGAGCCGGUAUCAGGCACAGACAUCUUGCCCAUAACACCUAGCCAUGCCACUCCCCCAAGGGUAUUCAGCAGUGAUUAACAUUGUCUAUAAGCGCCAGCUUGACCCAGUUACAGUAAACAGAGUUGGCCAACCCGGUGCCAGCCGCCGCGGCUACACCAGCGAACUCAAGUUGACUAUACAUCGGCGUUAAGCGUGAUUAAAGAAAACUUCAAAUUAGAAUUAAACCACGGUAAAGUUGUGACAUACUUACCCCAAGAAACACAAAACAAAAGUUAUUCUAAUCCGCCCACUUGACUCCACGACAGCUAAGAAACAAACUGGGAUUAGAUACCCCACUAUGCUUAGCCGUAAAACAUCUACCCACACUUAAACCGCCAGGAAAUUACGAGCCCAAGCUUAAAACCCAAAGGACUUGACGGUGCCUCACCUACCUAGAGGAGCCUGUUCUAUAAUCGAUUCUCCCCGAUCCACCUCACCGCUUCUUGAACAUCAGCCUGUAUACCUCCGUCGCAAGCCUACCAUGUGAACGCACGCAGUGGGCCCCAAGAUCUAUACAUCCACACGUCAGGUCAAGGCGCAGCCUACGAAGCGGGAAGAAAUGGGCUACAAUCUCUACCCUAGAACAAACAGAGGACUACAUGCAACAUAGUCACCAAGGCGGAUUUAGCAGUAAAAAGAAAAUAGAGAGUUCUUUUUAACCAAGCCCUGAGGCGCGUACACACCGCCCGUCACCCUCUUCAAAUGACAAAACAACGUUAUUAACACUUUCUCGUCCCACAGAAGAGGCAAGUCGUAACACGGUAAGCGUACUGGAAAGUGCGCUUGGAAUA